GACGAACGCUGGCGGCGGGCUUAACACAUGCAAGUCGAACGGAUGGGCCCUGCUUUUGUGGGGUGCUCGAGUGGCGAACGGGAGAAUAACACGUGAGUAACCUGCCCUUGACUUUGGGAUAACUUCAGGAGACUGGGACUAAUACAGGAUAGGAGCUCCUGCUGCAGGGGGGGGUUUGGACAGUUUCGGCGGGUGGGGAUCGACUCGCGGCUAAUCAGCUUGUUGGUGGGGGAGUGGCUUACGGAGGCUUUGGCGGGUAGCCGGCCUGGGAGGGUGACCGGGCACAUUGCGACUGAGAUACGGCCCAGACUCCUACGGGAGGCAGCAGUGGGGAAUAUUGCACAAUGGGCGGAAGCCUGAUGCAGCAGCGCCGCGUGCGGGAUGACGGCCUUCGGGUUGUAAACCGCUUUCGCCUGUGACGAAGCGUGAGUGACGGUAAUGGGUAAAGAAGCACCGGCUAACUACGUG
rnacentral:rRNA from 1 species